GUGGGGAAUAUUGGACAAUGGGCGAAAGCCUGAUCCAGCCAUGCCGCGUGAACGAUGAAGGCCUUCGGGUUGUAAAGUUCUUUAGCCGAUGAUUAUAAUGACUGUAGUCGGAAAAUAAGCCCCGGCUAACUUCGUGCCAGCAGCCGCGGUAAUACGAAGGGGGCGAGCGUUAUUCGGAAUCACUGGGCGUAAAGCGUGCGUAGGCGGUUUUGUAAGUUAGGAGUGAAAGCCCAGGGCUCAACCUUGGAAUUGCUCUUAAAACUGCAAGGCUCGAAUCUCGGAGAGGAUAGCGGAAUUUCCAGUGUAGCAGUGAAAUGCGUAGAUAUUGGAAGGAACACCAGUGGCGUAAGCGGCUAUCUGGACGAGUAUUGACGCUGAGGCACGAAAGCGUGGGGAUCAAACAGGAUUAGAUACCCUUGUAGUCC
rnacentral:rRNA from 1 species